UACGAAGGGGGCUAGCGUUGCUCGGAAUUACUGGGCGUAAAGAGCGCGCAGGCGGUCGUGCAAGUCGCGUGUGAAAGCUCCCGGCUCAACUGGGAGAGGUCAAGGGAAACUACCGGGCUAGAGUGUGGCAGAGGAAGCUGGAAUUCCCGGUGUAGCGGUGAAAUGCGUAGAGAUCGGGAGGAAUACCUAUGGCGAAAGCAGGCUUCUGGGCCGUCACUGACGCUGAUCUGCGAAAGCUAGGGGAGCAAACAGG
rnacentral:rRNA from 1 species